AUUCCAUGACGAGGACAUUGUCUUAGCAACUCCUUAAAUAUUUCCCAAGCAUCAAACAAUGAUUAAUCUUCUUCUUGUCUAAAUGAGGUUUUUCAUUCCUCAUUUU